CUUUGGAACUUGAUCACCUGGAUUUGUAACUGUACCAAGAUACAAGUAUAUUUUUAAAUAAAGAAGGGUAUUCCUUUAAAAUUAAAAAGGGAUUUUAGUUCAGGAAAACUGGAAUAACACACUGAGUCUUAAUGCUGAUUUAUACCAAGAGAUUUCUAACACAGGAAUAGACAAAAAUGAACUAUACUAAUGAGAUGAAAGGUAACUUUUAAAAAUUAAAUAUAUGGUGUAAAUAUUGUUUUUAUAUCAGGAAAGGAAAACAGAAGAGAUGAAGCCUUUGGAUUUUUUAUAGAAAGAUACAUGAGCUGUGAGGGUAAAUAACUGGCUAAGGUGGAAAAGGUGAGAUGGAGGUGGGUAGGGCUUAACUAUCCAGACUUUGAGAUUCUUAUUCAGGAAAAGGCAAAGCAUCUCAUGUCCCCCUACCAUUUUGUUCUGUUAUGCUCGAAUUCGGGACCCCCAAAAGACCACCAGAGACCAAGAUUGAUGUAAGCAGCAAAGAGGUGUUUAUUGCGAACUAGCUCCGUCCUCCGCGCGCACACAGCAACUGGUAACGCUGAGAGGCCCCAGCCCAGGGUUUGCAGCAGUUUUAUACACUCUUUGGGGGAAAGCAGGGACUUCACAUACAUCAUAGCAUCUCUUAGGAAAUUAUCACACUGCGGGAAAAUCAUAAAAUAACUCUAAAAACAUGAUUAGUACAUUCACUGGCAGGAACAAGUUGGGUAAGGGUGAUUGGUUACUACAAGAGGGGGAUUCCUUUGAACUGAUUGGUUUAAGCCACGAGGGGAGUACUGCUGAACUACAUGGUUUCCCAACAUGUUAUCAACCACCAUAAUCUACUGGGAGGGUCAUCUGGCAUCCCAGGUAUUUUCCCUGUUUCAUGCUGAUUGGUGGCUGCUAGGAGGUUGCUAUGGGUCCC
rnacentral:lncRNA from 1 species